CAAGGAAUAGUUUAUUUAAAAAUACUAAUUUUGGAGAUUAGAGUUAAGGUGUUUCUUUUCCUUGA
rnacentral:tRNA from 1 species